rnacentral:piRNA from 1 species
UGCAGAAUUCAGCAGGGACGCAGA